rnacentral:rRNA from 2 species
GGGUUGUGAGGUUAAGCGACUAAGCGUACACGGUGGAUGCCCUGGCAGUCAGAGGCGAUGAAGGACGUGCUAAUCUGCGAUAAGCGCCGGUAAGGUGAUAUGAACCGUUAUAACCGGCGAUUUCCGAAUGGGGAAACCCAGUGUGACUCGUCACACUAUCAUUAACUGAAUCCAUAGGUUAAUGAGGCGAACCGGGGGAACUGAAACAUCUAAGUACCCCGAGGAAAAGAAAUCAACCGAGAUUCCCCCAGUAGCGGCGAGCGAACGGGGAGGAGCCCAGAGCCUGAAUCAGCAUGUGUGUUAGUGGAAGCGUCUGGAAAGGCGCGCGAUACAGGGUGACAGCCCCGUACACAAAAGCGCAUGUGCUGUGAGCUCGAUGAGUAGGGCGGGACACGUGGUAUCCUGUCUGAAUAUGGGGGGACCAUCCUCCAAGGCUAAAUACUCCUGACUGACCGAUAGUGAACCAGUACCGUGAGGGAAAGGCGAAAAGAACCCCGGCGAGGGGAGUGAAAAAGAACCUGAAACCGUGUACGUACAAGCAGUGGGAGCCCCACCACUAAGCCAGUGGUGAACUCCACAUACGCAUCCUUUGCUGAGGAUACGGUUAACGGAGCGAAAGCGACGUUCAACCUCAAAAGAAGCAGAGGGGGCUUAGUGGUGG